rnacentral:rRNA from 1 species
GACGAACGCUGGCGGCGUGCCUAACACAUGCAAGUCGUACGGAGUUCACUUGGAAGCUUGCUUCCGAGUGAACUUAGUGGCGGACGGGUGAGUAACGCGUGAGCAACCUGCCUCACAGAGGGGGAUAACACACGGAAACGUGUGCUAAUACCGCAUAAUCCGAUGAAGCGGCAUCGCUUUAUCGGCAAAGGAGCAAUCCGCUGUGAGAUGGGCUCGCGUCCGAUUAGAUAGUUGGUGAGGUAACGGCUCACCAAGUCUACGAUCGGUAGCCGGACUGAGAGGUUGGACGGCCACAUUGGGACUGAGACACGGCCCAAACUCCUACGGGAGGCAGCAGUGAGGGAUAUUGCACAAUGGGCGAAAGCCUGAUGCAGCGACGCCGCGUGAGGGAUGACGGUCUUCGGAUUGUAAACCUCUGUCCUUGGUGAAGAGAAAGUGACGGUAGCCAAGGAGGAAGCCACGGCUAACUACGUGCCAGCAGCCG